rnacentral:rRNA from 1 species
AACGAACGCUGGCGGCAGGUCUAACACCUGCUAGUCGAGCGGACAUCUUCGGUUGUUAGCGGCGUCCGGGUGAGUAACGCGUUGGCACGUGCCCUUUGCUUCGGAAUAGCCUCGGGACACUGGGACUAAUACCGGAUGUUCCCUUUGGGUGACAGAUUCCUCGGCACAGGAUCGGCCCGCGUUGGAUUCGCUCGUUGGUGGUGUGAUGUCCUACCGAGCCGACGAUCCAUAGCUGGUGUGAGAGCCUGAUCCGCCACACUGGGACUGAGACACGGCCCAGACCCCUACGGGAGGCAGAAGUGGGUAAUCUUAGACAAUGGGAGAAACCGUGAUCGAGCCAGGCCGGGUGAGCGGUUAAGGCCUUAGGAUUGUAAAGCUCUUUAACCGGGGAAGAUAAUGACGGUACCCGGAAAAGAAGCCCCGGCUAACUCCGUG